rnacentral:rRNA from 1 species
CACGUAGGCACCAAGCGUUGUCCGGAUUUAUUGGGCGUAAAGAGCUCGUAGGCGGUUCAGUAAGUCAGGUGUGAAAUCUUUGGGCUUAACCCAAAGCGUGCACUUGAUACUGCUGUGACUUGAGUUCGGUAGGGGAGUGGGUAAUUCCUAGUGUAGCGGUGAAAUGCGUAGAGAUCGGGAAGAACAUCGGUGGCGAAAGCGCUCUACUGGACGGUGACUGACACUCAGGGACGAAAGCUAGGGGAGCGAAUGGG